AUUGAACGCUGGCGGCAGGCUUAACACAUGCGAGUCGAGCGGGGUGAUGGUGCUUGCACUAUCACUUAGCGGCGGACGGGUGAGUAAUGCUUAGGAAUCUGCCUAUUAGUGGGGGACAAUAUCUCGAAAGGGAUGCUAAUACCGCAUACGUCCUACGGGAGAAAGCAGGGGAUCUUCGGACCUUGCGCUAAUAGAUGAGCCUAAGUCGGAUUAGCUAGUUGGUGGGGUAAAGGCCUACCAAGGCGACGAUCUGUAGCGGGUCUGAGAGGAUGGUCCGCCAAACGGGGACUGAGACACGGCCCAGACUCCUACGGGAGGCAGCAGUGGGGAAUAUUGGACAAUGGGGGGAACCCUGAUCCAGCCAUGCCGCGUGUGUGAAGAAGGCCUUAUGGUUGUAAAGCACUUUAAGCGAGGAGGAGGCUACUUUAGUUAAUACCUAGAGAUAGUGGACGUUACUCGCAGAAUAAGCACCGGCUAACUCUGUGCCAGCCGCCGCGGUAA
rnacentral:rRNA from 1 species